GUCCAUGUAGUAUAUCCAAUUACACUGGUCUUGUAAGCCAGAAAAGAGAACUACCAAACGUCUCCAUAGA
rnacentral:tRNA from 1 species